GGAGUUAGCCGGUGCUUCUUCUGUGAGUGAUGUCCUUCCUGCCGGUUAUUGACCCGCAGGCCUUCUUCCUCACUGAAAGUGCUUUACAACCCGAAGGCCUUCUUCACACACGCGGCAUGGCUGGAUCAGGGUUGCCCCCAUUGUCCAAUAUUCCCCACUGCUGCCUCCCGUAGGAGUCUGGGCCGUGUCUCAGUCCCAGUGUGGCUGAUCAUCCUCUCAGACCAGCUACGGAUCGUCGCCUUGGUGAGCCGUUACCUCACCAACCAGCUAAUCCGACAUAGGCUCAUCCGAUAGCGCGAGGCCCGAAGGUCCCCCGGCUUUCCCCCGUAGGGCGUAUGCGGUAUUAGCCUGGGUUUCCCCAGGUUAUCCCCCGACUACCGGGCAGAUUCCUAUGCAUUACUCACCCGUCCGCCGCUCGCCACCAGGGAGCAAGCUCCCCGUGCUGCCGCUCGACUUGCAUGUGUUAGGCCUGCCGCCAGCGUUCAAUCUGAGCCAGAAUCAAACUCUGA
rnacentral:rRNA from 1 species